ensembl:lncRNA
GUGCUUUAUGAGCAUUAUCUGAUUUGAUUCUAUGAAAAACUGCUGUAUGAAGUAGCUACUAUUAUUAGCCCCAUUUAAUAGGUGAUAUAUACUUAGGCUUGGAGAGGUUCAUUUGCUCAAGGUCACACAACCAAUAAAUGGAAAGCUGGAAUUCCACCCAGAUUGGCUGACACCAAUGCCCAUGGUAUUAACCACAAUAAGUCAUGGCUCUAUCAUGAAUUAGUUUUAUUGUAUUCCUUUUUGCUGUGAUUUCCUCACUUAUGCAUAGUAAAUCACACCCAUGUAUGCCUCAUAGGACUGCUGAGAUGAUUGAUUCAGGUUAGGUAUUUGAGAAAGUGCAUGUUAUGUAUUUGUCUAAAAUGAAAGUGCUUUGUAAAAGUGUCCACAUAUCUAAUUUACUGUGUCAGGUUAUAUUACCAGCCAGCUGUGUCAUCUUGGGCAAAUCUCUUAGAUCCACUGGCUUCUAGUCCCCACCUGGAAAUUAAUGGUAUUGAAACAGAUGAUCACUAGGUCCUUUCCCCCCACAAAUGAUUCCAAGUUCAUUAAAAGAAAAGCUAUAAUCAUGAGAUCAUAGUAGGACCAUGAGGAAGUGUGGAAUUGAAUUAGAAGGGACAUGGCAAAGUGGGGCAUGAAAAAUUAGCAGGGGAAUAAUUCCAUGGUAAACAUGACUGCAGAGAGCAAGAGCCUGGGGAGUUUUCUCCCUCUAACUCUUUUCCCUUUUAAGUGGGAAGUGUUUCUUAAAAUAUUUUUUACUUUAUUUUUUUAAAAAAGAUUUUUUUUUUCCUUUUUCUCCCCAAAGACCCCCCCCCCAGUGCAUAUUUGUAUAUUUUUCGUUGUGGGUCCUUCUAGUUGUGGCAUGUGGGACACUGCCUCAGCGUAGUUUGAUGAGCAGUGCCAUGUCCGCACCCAGGAUUCGAACCAACGAAACGCUGGGCCGCCUGCAGCGGAGCGUGAGAACUUAACCACUCGGCCACGGGGCCAGCCCCUACUUUAUUUUUUUUAAUUGCGGCAACAUUGGUUUAUAACAAGUGGGAAGUGUUUUGUUUUGCUUUUCUCUUCCUCCCUCGGUGUGGGGCCCUGCCCGUCUUCCUGUUCUGCACUCGCCUCCAAGCUCUCUGUAUUGGGGUGGGCCAGACACCUGUAACAAAUUGGACUGCGCAGAUCAUGUCUUAAACACAGGAUUUCAUUUCCAUCUCAUGCAACAGGCCAGGGUGUAUGUUCCCGGUCAGACAGAGGAGGAGGAGGGGAUGGUAAGGAAGAUCUGUUCCGUUCAGUCUCGCAGGGACCCAGGCUAGUGGGGCUCUGCCGUCUCCAGCACAUGGCUUCCAAGGUCUACCUGUCACCUUAAUGUGGCUGGCUGAAUAACGGCCCCCGAGAAUGUCCAUUCGGCAAUCGUCAGAACACGUGAAUAUUACCUUAUAUGGAAAAAGGGACUCUGGAGAUUCUCCUGGAUUAUCCGGUUGGGUCCUGAGUGUGAUCACAAGGUCCCCACAACAGGGAGGCAGUGAGAGAUUCCACCACAGAGAGGAGUAGAUGUGACAACACAAGCCUGUUAUUCUCAGUGACUCGAGCAAGAGGCCCCGAGGCACGGAAUGCAGACUUCCGGCCUCCAGAACUGUAAGUAUCUGCAUUUUUUCAGCCACAACCUUGGUUGUAAUUUGUCUCAGCAGCAACGGGCACGGAUCCAUCUUUGCCGUCAUCCCAACCUAUGGUAAGGGGGAAGCCGUGCGGGCGUUUUUACGGGCCAGAAAGCGGUGCAUAUCCUCCUCUCUGAUGUUCCAUUGUGAGAUCCUGGCUAUGUGGCCGCACCCGUCACCUAGAGAAGCUGGGAGAUGUGGAGCUGGGCAGCCAGAGGCCCAGUGAGUCCAGAAGGAGGGCAGGGGAUCCACUCUCUGCCACACCGAGUUAUCCCGCCCUGCGUGGUGGUGUGGAUGCCACAGCGGCUGGCCCGCUGGGGUCCUGUGUGGGCUGGGCAGGUUGUCCUCACUGCAUUUGCCUUUUCGGCUCCUUGGACCAGGGUGGGCGCCCCAGGCCCAGCAGGCCUACAGCCUCAGUCCCCCACGUCACAUUUCUAUUCACUUCCGGUCCACAGAGACAUUCAACUUGUUUUUGAGCACGGCUAAACCUUUUCGCUUUCCAAAUUUGACGUUGUAUCUGUCAUGCUACUUGGCCAGCCAGUCUCUGCCACACACUCUCCUGACACGGUGUGUCAAAGGGGAGACGGGCGCCGCCUUUUGCCUUUUCGCCGGAUGUGACUCUGAAGCAGUCUGUUCUCCAUAGAGAGGCUGGAUGGAUCUGGGUGUCACAAAACGCUCACGCCACCCUCCCGCUGAAAGCCCCAGUGAGCUCUGGCUGUCCUCAUUUGUGAACGCGGGAGCAACAAUACCCACCUCACAGAGAGAAAGUAAUGAGUGGCUGCUUGCGGGAGCAGGGGAGCGGGGCACAGGGGUUGACUGCUAACAAGGUGGGCUUCUUUGUGGGGGGAUGAAAAUGUUCUAAAAUUAGGUCG